UACGUAGGGGCCGAGCGUUGUCCGGAGUUACUGGGCGUAAAGCGCGCGCAGGCGGCUCGGUAAGCUCGGCGUGAAAGCCCCCGGCUCAACCGGGGAGGGUCGCCGGGGACUGCCGGGCUUGAGGGCGGUAGGGGCUGGUGGAAUUCCCGGUGUAGUGGUGAAAUGCGUAGAGAUCGGGAGGAACACCCGUGGCGAAGGCGGCCAGCUGGGCCGACCCUGACGCUGAGGCGCGAAGGCGUGGGGAGCGAACGGG
rnacentral:rRNA from 1 species